UGAGGAAUAUUGGUCAAUGGGCGAGAGCCUGAACCAGCCAAGUCGCGUGAGGGAAGACGGUCCUACGGAUUGUAAACCUCUUUGUCGGGGAGCAAUAAGGCGUACGAGUACGCAGAUGCGAGUACCCGAAGAAAAAGCAUCGGCUAACUCCGUGCCAGCAGCCGCGGUAAUACGGAGGAUGCGAGCGUUAUCCGGAUUUAUUGGGUUUAAAGGGUGCGCAGGCGGAAAGUGCAAGUCAGCGGUCAAACGACGGGGCUCAACCCCGUCUCGCCGUUGCAAACUGUCAUUUCUUAGAGUGAGCGAGAAGUAUGCGGAAUGCGUGGUGUAGCGGUGAAAUGCAUAGAUAUCACGCAGAACUCCGAUUGCGAAGGCAGCAUACCGGCGCUCAACUGACGCUCAUGUACGAAAGCGUGGUAUCGAACAGGAUUAGAUACC
rnacentral:rRNA from 1 species